ensembl:snRNA U6 U6 spliceosomal RNA
GUGCUCACUUCCAUAGCACUUAUACUAAAAGUGGAAUGAUUACAGAAAAUUAGCAUGGCCCCUGCACAAGGAUGACUCACAAAUUCCCCAAGCACUCCAUAGUAAA